rnacentral:rRNA from 1 species
GCUCAGGAUGAACGCUGGCGGUCUGCUUAACACAUGCAAGUCGAACGGAACUCUUCGGAGUUUAGUGGCGGACGGGUGAGUAACGCGUGAGAAUCUGCCUUCAGGUUGGGGACAACAGUUGGAAACGACUGCUAAUACCCAAUGUGCCGAGAGGUGAAAGCUUUAGUGCCUGAAGAUGAGCUCGCGUCUGAUUAGCUAGUUGGUGAGGUAAUGGCUUACCAAGGCGACGAUCAGUAGCUGGUCUGAGAGGAUGAUCAGCCACACUGGGACUGAGACACGGCCCAGACUCCUACGGGAGGCAGCAGUGGGGAAUUUUCCGCAAUGGGCGCAAGCCUGACGGAGCAAGACCGCGUGAGGGAGGAAGGCUCUUGGGUUGUAAACCUCUUUUAUCAGGGAAGAAGAUCUGACGGUACCUGAUGAAUCAGCAUCGGCUAACUCCGUGCCAGCAGCCGCGGUAAUACGGAGGAUGCAAGCGUUAUCCGGAUUUAUUGGGCGUAAAGCGUCCGCAGGUGGUUUUUCAAGUCUGCUGUUAAAGCGCAGAGCUUAACUCUGUAACGGCGGUGGAAACUGAGAGACUAGAGUAUGGUAGGGGUUGCGGGAAUUCCCAGUGUAGCGGUGAAAUGCGUAGAUAUUGGGAAGAACACCAGCGGCGAAAGCGCGCAACUGGGCCAUUACUGACACUCAUGGACGAAAGCUAGGGGAGCGAAAGGGAUUAGAUACCCCUGUAGUCCUAGCUGUAAACGAUGGGUACUAGGUGUUGACCG